UUGGUGAAAUAGCUUGUGUAUUUUAUUCCAA
rnacentral:piRNA from 1 species